UACGAAGGGGGCUAGCGUUGUUCGGAAUCACUGGGCGUAAAGGGCGCGUAGGUGGCGACGCAAGUCAGUGGUGAAAGCUCGACGCUCAACGUCGAGUCGGCCACUGAUACUGCAUUGCUGGAGCACUGUAGAGGCAGAUGGAAUUCCGGGUGUAGCGGUGAAAUGCGUAGAGAUCCGGAGGAACACCGAAAGCGAAGGCAGUCUCCUGGCAAGUUUCUGACGCUCAGGUGCGAAAGCUAGGGGAGCGAACAGG
rnacentral:rRNA from 1 species